rnacentral:rRNA from 1 species
CUUGUCUCAAAGAUUAAGCCAUGCAUGUCUAAGUAUAAGCAAUUAUACAGCGAAACUGCGAAUGGCUCAUUAUAUAAGUUAUCGUUUAUUUGAUAGUACCUUACUACUUGGAUAACCGUGGUAAUUCUAGAGCUAAUACAUGCUAAAAAUCCCGACUUCGGAAGGGAUGUAUUUAUUAGAUUAAAAACCAAUGCCCUCUGGGCUCCUUGGUGAUUCAUGAUAACUUCUCGAAUCGCAUGGCCUUGCGCCGGCGAUGGUUCAUUCAAAUUUCUUCCCUAUCAACUUUCGAUGUUUGGGUAGUGGCCAAACAUGGUUGCAACGGGUAACGGAGGGUUAGGGCUCGACCCCGGAGAAGGAGCCUGAGAAACGGCUACUACAUCCAAGGAAGGCAGCAGGCGCGCAAAUUACCCAAUCCCGAUUCGGGGAGGUAGUGACAAUAAAUACUGAUACAGGGCUCUUUUGGGUCUUGUAAUUGGAAUGAGUACAAUUUAAAUCCCUUAACGAGGAACAAUUGGAGGGCAAGUCUGGUGCCAGCAGCCGCGGUAAUUCCAGCUCCAAUAGCGUAUAUUAAAGUUGUUGUGGUUAAAAAGCUCGUAGUUGAACCUUGGGCCUGGCUGGCCGGUCCGCCUCACCGCGUGUACUGGUCCGGCCGGGUCUUUCCCUCUGUGGAACCCCAUGCCCUUCACUGGGUGUGGCGGGGAAACAGGACUUUUACUUUGAAAAAAUUAGAGUGCUCCAGGCAGGCCUAUGCUCGAAUACAUUAGCAUGGAAUAAUGAAAUAGGACGUGCGGUUCUAUUUUGUUGGUUUCUAGGACCGCCGUAAUGAUUAAUAGGGACAGUCGGGGGCAUCAGUAUUCAAUUGUCAGAGGUGAAAUUCUUGGAUUUAUUGAAGACUAACUACUGCGAAAGCAUUUGCCAAGGAUGUUUUCAUUAAUCAGGAACGAAAGUUAGGGGAUCGAAGACGAUCAGAUACCGUCGUAGUCUUAACCAUAAACUAUGCCGACUAGGGAUCGGACGAUGUUAUUUAUUGACUCGUUCGGCACCUUACGAGAAAUCAAAGUGCUUGGGCUCCAGGGGGAGUAUGGUCGCAAGGCUGAAACUUAAAGG